AUACGGAGGGUGCAAGCGUUAUUCGGAAUCACUGGGCGUAAAGGACGCGUAGGCGGGUUGGCAAGUCAGAUGUGAAAUCCUACAGCUUAACUGUAGAACUGCAUUUGAAACUGCUAACCUAGAGUAUGUGAGGGGGAGAUGGAAUUAGUGGUGUAGGGGUAAAAUCCGUAGAUAUCACUAGGAAUACCGAAAGCGAAGGCGAUCUCCUGGAACAUAACUGACGCUAAGGCGUGAAAGCGUGGGGAGCAAACAGAAUUAGAAACCCCGGUAGUCC
rnacentral:rRNA from 1 species